rnacentral:rRNA from 1 species
UUAAAUUGAAGAGUUUGAUCAUGGCUCAGAUUGAACGCUGGCGGCAGGCCUAACACAUGCAAGUCGAACGGUAACAGAAAGCAGCUUGCUGCUUUGCUGACGAGUGGCGGACGGGUGAGUAAUGUCUGGGAAACUGCCUGAUGGAGGGGGAUAACUACUGGAAACGGUAGCUAAUACCGCAUAACGUCG